GUAAGAGCUUACCAAGGCUAUGACGGGUAGCUGGUCUGAGAGGACGAUCAGCCACACUGGAACUGAGACACGGUCCAGACACUACGGGUGGCAGCAGUCGAGAAUCUUUCUCAAUGGGGGCAACCCUGAAGGAGCGACGCCGCGUGGGGGAUGAAGGGCUUCGGCUCGUAAACCCCUGUCAUUUGUGGGCAGGUGUGAUUGUUUAAGAGAUGGUUACAUAGAUAGUAGCAAAAGAGGAAGGGACGGCUAACUCUGUGCCAGCAGCCGCGGUAAUACAGAGGUCCCAAGCGUUGUUCGGAAUCACUGGGCGUAAAGGGUGCGUAGGCGGUAGUGUAAGACUUAGGUGAAAUCUCCAUGCUUAACGUGGAGCUCGCCUGGGAGACUGCAUUACUUGAGGAUUGGAGGGGAGACUGGAAUUCUUGGAGUAGCAGUGAAAUGCGUAGAUAUCAAGAGGAAGACCAGUGGCGAAGGCGAGUCUCUGGACAAUACCUGACGCUGAGGCACGAAGGCCAGGGGAUCAAACGGGAUUAGAUACCCCGGUAGUCCUGGCAGUAAACGGUGCACACUUGCUGUGUGAGGGAUCGACCCCUUACGU
rnacentral:rRNA from 1 species